CUUCCCAGCUCCAGGUGAGGGGGCGUUUCCAGCUCCAGGUGAGGGUCCUCCUGGCUCCAGGUGAGGCUCUUCCCAGCUCCAGGUGAGGGGGCGUUUCCAGCUCCAGGUGAGGGUCCUCCUGGCUCCAGGUGAGGGUCCUUCCGCCUCCAGAUGAGGGGAUGUUUCCAGCUCCAGGUGAGGGGGCAUUUCCAGUUCCAGGUGAGGGUCCUCCUGGCUCCAGGUGAGGGGGCAUUUCCAGUUCCAGGUGAGGGUCCUCCUGGCUCCAGGUGAGGGGGCAUUUCCAGUUCCAGGUGAGGGUCCUCCUGGCUCUAGGUGAGGGGGCGUUUCCAGUUCCAGGUGAGGAGCCUCCCGGCUCCAGGUGAGGGUCCCCCCGGCUCCAGGUGAGGGGGCAUUUCCAGUUCCAGGUGAGGAUCCUCCUGGCUCCAGGUGAGGGUCCCCCCGGCUCCAGGUGAGGGGGCGUUUCCAGUUCCAGGUGAGGAUCCUCCCGGCUCCAGGUGAGGGUCCUCCUGGCUCCAGGUGAGGGGGCAUUUCCAGUUCCACGUGAGGAGCCUCCUGGCUCCAGGUGAGGGGGAGUUUCCAGUUCCAGGUGAGGGUCCUCCCAGCCCCAGGUGAGGGUCCUCCCAGCUCCAGGUGAGGGGUCAGCCGGCUGGCAUGGGCCAGGCGCUGACUUGUGGAGGCACAGAUGGAGAAUGUCCAUCUCCAUCCAGAGGGUCUUUGUAUCUGUGACUUGGAAGGUGUUGCCCUUUGGAAACAGUUUAGAUUAGCACACUCUUUCCAACAAUGUAAUUACUAAAUCAUAGGCUUCUUUCGAGUCCUGGAUAUGAGGUUCAGAUUCACAAGGUACCACAUCUAGUUAGUGGCUGAGCCGGGCACUGGAAUCCAGGCCUCCUGGGGGCUGGUCACCUCCUUCUCUUCCCUUUCAUGUUGUCUCUGCUUCUUGACACUUCGGAGGAUGGUCUUUUUUACUUACUUGUAUUAUUUGGGAAAGAAUUCUUAGAGUUUUGAGUGAUAGUUAACUCUCAGUUAUCCAUGGGUGGGUUGUUGCCUAAUUUUUUGUGAUUCAUUUCUUUUUAGUACUGCCUAUGCCUCCUAGGUCCCCUUGGAUUAGCUCUCACUUAGCAAGUCAAACUAAUUUUAAUAUUAGUAAAAAAAAAUAAAAGCACCUCUUACGUAGUAUCUUUUUCUUUCUUGCACCUUGCAUUUCCUUUUACAAUAAUAUUUUCAAUUUGUUUUCAUUUCCCAGAACCAUUGGCUAACUGUCACUGUGAUUUUAUAUAAAAUCAGCCCUAAAUAACAUCUAGUCCCUCAGAAGCUGCUAAUUUCAGAACUAUUUUUAGGGCUACAUAUGAGCCAAGAGGAUGCCCAAGGAUUUACUUGGUCCUUCCUUAGAGUAGAUCACGCUCCUAAGACAAGUUAUUUCCCCAGAAGUGGUCAUGGAUUUGCCUCUUUCAUCCACAUAGUCUGGUUGUCAUGCCUAAGGCGCCCCAUGUGGCUGAGGAAGGGACAUGCUUGCUGAGAGGCCAGCCAGGGGUGUGGAGCUGUGACCUGUGACUAGGAGCAGCCAUGCCCACUGGCCACGUGGCAUCCACCCAGUGAUGCACCCUGAGCCAGCUGAGCCAAGGACACAGUCUCCGGAAGGGUCUCCUGCAUCCCUGCCUGAGACUUCAUAAUCAGCCCAUGUAGGGACCACAGCCUCAUUGCACAGCAAGAAGUCUUCAGUAAUCACUUUACUCACGGUGCCUUGUUUAGAGUUUGACUGAAAACCUGAUUAAUUUCAUUCAUUUAUACUUUUUCAUAGUAUUUAUUUUUAAUCCUUUGUCAAGUAUAAAAUGUCAGACUUGUUAGAAAGCAAAGAUCUCUCCCAGUGGAAAGCUAGAAAUAAUUGUGACCACAACGUAUUUAGAAAAAGCACUGUAAUAGGUACCACGGGUGAACACUGAAGACACAGAUCCUUGGAAGUGUCCUAACCCAUACUGUCGGCUUCUC